rnacentral:tRNA from 1 species
GAGGAUAUAGUUCAGUGGUAGAGUGUGUGCCUAACAUGCACAAGGUCCUGGGUUCAAUCCCCAGUACCUCCA